rnacentral:rRNA from 1 species
GAUGAGCGCUGGCGGCGUGCCUAAUACAUGCAAGUCGAGCGAACGGACGAGAAGCUUGCUUCUCUGAUGUUAGCGGCGGACGGGUGAGUAACACGUGGAUAACCUACCUAUAAGACUGGGAUAACUUCGGGAAACCGGAGCUAAUACCGGAUGAUAUUUUGAACCGCAUGGUUCAAAAGUGAAAGACGGUCUUGCUGUCACUUAUAGAUGGAUCCGCGCUGCAUUAGCUAGUUGGUAAGGUAACGGCUUACCAAGGCAACGAUGCAUAGCCGACCUGAGAGGGUGAUCGGCCACACUGGAACUGAGACACGGUCCAGACUCCUACGGGAGGCAGCAGUAGGGAAUCUUCCGCAAAGGGCGAAAGCCUGACGGAGCAACGCCGCGUGAGUGAUGAAGGUCUUCGGAUCGUAAAACUCUGUUAUUAGGGAAGAACAUAUGUGUAAGUAACUGUGCACAUCUUGACGGUACCUAAUCAGAAAGCCACGGCUAACUACGUG